AUUUUUCCCCAAUCUGAAGUUCUGCCAGCUGCAGCAUCUAAUCAUCCCUGGCUGUGCCUGUUAAGUAUUUAAAGGCAUUUCUGAUGCUAGCUGCAUCUGCCCAUAGUACCAGCAACAUGCACUGCCUCAACCAUGAUCACUAUACAGGCCCAGCCUGUCCUUGCAAGGAUGUUGGGUGGAUCAGGAUGUUGAGUGCCCACAGCUUUAGAGGAGAAAAGCCUGGAUGCCUGGAGUCUCAAUGAUGCAGAAAAACUGGAUGGAAUCUCACUGGAAGAGCAUCCUGAAGUUGUGAAAAAACCUUUUUCCUUAGGGACUGGAAGAUUUAGUGUAAACUGUACCAAAGUCUGAAGACAGAAAGCCUCCACAUAGAAGCUUG
rnacentral:lncRNA from 1 species